GACGAACGCUGGCGGCGUGCUUAACACAUGCAAGUCGAACGGAAAGGCCCUGCUUUUGUGGGGUGCUCGAGUGGCGAACGGGUGAGUAACACGUGAGUAACCUGCCCUUGACUUUGGGAUAACUUCAGGAAACUGGGGCUAAUACCGGAUAGGAGCUCCUGCUGCAUGGUGGGGGUUGGAAAGUUUCGGCGGGUGGGGAUGGACUCGCGGCUUAUCAGCUUGUUGGUGGGGUAGUGGCUUACCAAGGCUUUGACGGGUAGCCGGCCUGAGAGGGUGACCGGCCACAUUGGGACUGAGAUACGGCCCAGACUCCUACGGGAGGCAGCAGUGGGGAAUAUUGCACAGUGGGCGGAAGCCUGAUGCAGCAACGCCGCGUGCGGGAUGACGGCCUUCGGGUUGUAAACCGCUUUCGCCUGUGACGAAGCGUGAGUGACGGUAAUGGGUAAAGAAGCACCGGCUAACUACGUG
rnacentral:rRNA from 1 species